CCUACGGGAGGCAGCAGUGGGGAAUAUUGGACAAUGGGGGCAACCCUGAUCCAGCAAUUCUGUGUGCACAAAGAAGGUUUUCGGAUCGUAAAGUGCUUUCAGCAGGGAGGAAGGAAGUGACUGUACCUGCAGAAGAAGCGACGGCUAAAUACGUGCCAGCAGCCGCGGUAAUACGUAUGUCGCGAGCGUUAUCCGGAAUUAUUGGGCAUAAAGGGCAUCUAGGCGGCCGGGUAAGUCCGGGGUGAAAACUGCUGGCUCAACCAGCAGCCUGCCUUGGAAACUACCCGGCUGGAGUGCUGGAGAGGUGGACGGAACUGCACGAGUAGAGGUGAAAUUCGUAGAUAUGUGCAGGAAUGCCGAUGAUGAAGAUAGUUCACUGGACGGCAACUGACGCUGAAGUGCGAAAGCUAGGGGAGCGAACAGGAUUAGAUACCCUGGUAGUCCUAGCUGUAAACGAUGAUUACUGGGUGUGGGCAUGAAGAGUGUCCGUGCCGAAGCUAAUGCGAUAAGUAAUCCGCCUGGGGAGUACGGCCGCAAGGCUGAAACUCAAAGGAAUUGACGG
rnacentral:rRNA from 1 species